rnacentral:SRP_RNA from 1 species
UUAUUUUGUAAAAAACAGUAUAUUUAUAUAGCGGUUUUGUAAAGGGUGCAUGUAGCAGUCCUUUAUGUGUGAAAAUCGGGUCUUAUGCAAUGAAAAUCCGCGAACCGUGUCAGGUCGGGAACGAAGCAGCACUAAGCGGAAUCUUUCAUGUGUUGUAAGGUAGCCUGUUUUUACCGGAAGCAAACGUGCAUGCAUCCUUUACAGGACCGCAAAAAAA